rnacentral:rRNA from 1 species
AGCUAAUACCGGAUAACAUGUUGAACCGCAUGGUUCAACAGUGAAAGACGGCCUUGCUGUCACUUAUAGAUGGAUCCGCGCCGCAUUAGCUAGUUGGUAAGGUAACGGCUUACCAAGGCAACGAUGCGUAGCCGACCUGAGAGGGUGAUCGGCCACACUGGAACUGAGACACGGUCCAG